rnacentral:rRNA from 1 species
AGUGAACGCUGGCGGUAGGCCUAACACAUGCAAGUCGAACGGCAGCACAGUAAGAGCUUGCUCUUACGGGUGGCGAGUGGCGGACGGGUGAGGAAUACAUCGGAAUCUACUUUUUCGUGGGGGAUAACGUAGGGAAACUUACGCUAAUACCGCAUACGACCUACGGGUGAAAGCAGUGGAUCUUCGGACCUUGCGCGAUUGAAUGAGCCGAUGUCGGAUUAGCUAGUUGGCGAGGUAAAGGCUCACCAAGGCAACGAUGCGUAGCUGACCUGAGAGGAUGAGCGGCCACACUGGAACUGAGACACGGUCCAGACUCCUACGGGAGGCAGCAGGAGGGAAUCUUGCGCAAUGGGCGAAAGCUUGACGGAGCAACGCCGCGUGAGUGAUGAAGGCCUUCGGAUCGUAAAACUCUUUUAUUAGGAAAGAAAAAAGGUGGAAGUAACUAUGCACGUCUUGACGGUACCUAAUAAGAAAGCCACGGCUAACUACGUG